rnacentral:lncRNA from 1 species
GUUGACAAUACUGUACAUACUUUUCACCUGUUUUGAUUUAAUAAAGUCCCUUAAAUUUAUCAUUCCUAUCCCCCCUUUUUCUUUCGGUAAACAGCACACUGUUCUAGCAAUUUGGUUUGUUUUCCCAUCCCAUAUAAAGGACCAUAUAAUAUUAUUUAUUUGUUUUUCGUAUAUCUCCGGGAUACCUCUCAUUUCAAUUUCGUAUCCAAUGACAGACAGUACAAAGGAUUUAAUAAUUAAAACUUUUCCCGUAAAUGUGAGAUCUCUUGAUUU